rnacentral:rRNA from 1 species
AACGAACGCUGGCGGCAGGCCUAACACAUGCAAGUCGAGCGAGACCUUCGGGUCUAGCGGCGGACGGGUUAGUCACGCGUGGGAACGUUCCCUUUUCUGCGGAAUAGCCUCGGGAAACUGAUCGUAAUACCGCAUACGCCCUUUUGGGGAAGGAUUUAUCGGAAAAGGAUCGUCCCGCGUUGGAUUAGGUUGUUGUUGGGGUAAUGGCAUACCAAGCCUACGAUGCAUAGCUGGUUUGAGAGGAUGAUCAGCCACACUGGGACUGAGACACGGCCCAGACUCCUACGGGAGGCAGGAGUGGGGAAUCGUAGACAAUGGGGGCAACCAUGAUCGAGCCAUGACGCGUGAGUGAUGAAGGCCUUAGGGUUGUAAAGCGCUUGCAGCUGGGAAGAUAAUGACGGUACCAGAAGAAGAAGCCACGGCUAACUCCGUG